AAAAGAGGAUUCGUCCAAUUGAAGCAGAGGACAGUGGCGGACGGGUGAGUAACGCGUGAGGAACCUGCCUUUCAGAGGGGGACAACAGUUGGAAACGACUGCUAAUACCGCAUAAGCCCACGGUACCACAUGGUACAGUGAGAAAAGGAGAAAUCCGCUGAAAGAUGGACUCGCGUCUGAUUAGAUAGUUGGUGGGGUAACGGCCUACCAAGUCGACGAUCAGUAGCCGGACUGAGAGGUUGAACGGCCACAUUGGGACUGAGAGACGGCCCAGACUCC
rnacentral:rRNA from 1 species